UAUCGCCUUGGUUUUUAGUGUCGUAUCGAGCUCGGACUCUACAGGGAGGAACCCUCUAAACUAAUUAUUAAACGCCUCGAUUAACAACAUCCAGCAACCUGUAUUUGAUUGUUUUUGAACAUGAGAGGAUGAAAACAAGCGCUCAUCAUGGAGUUCGGGAAUGUGAGUGCGCGUUUAUUAGAAGGAUUGUGAGCGCGAGUGGAAAGUGUUGUGAGGCUCUUCUGUACGUGGCAGCGACUAAAAGCACUGCAAAACAGCUGAACUAGCUGCUCUUUCCACUCAGACCGAGGUUUUGCUUUACAAUGGCAACGUAUCUGGUGCUAACGCUGUUGACUCUGUCGUCCUUCUCUUCUCCCGUGCAAGCCGAAAUCUUCACGUCAAUCGG